rnacentral:rRNA from 1 species
UACGAAGGGGGCUAGCGUUGCUCGGAAUUACUGGGCGUAAAGCGCACGUAGGCGGCCCAGCAAGCGGGGAGUGAAAGCCCUCGGCUUAACCGAGGAAGUGCUUUCCGAACUACUGGGCUUGAAUACUGGAGAGGGUCGCGGAAUUCCCGGUGUAGAGGUGAAAUUCGUAGAUAUCGGGAGGAACACCAGUGGCGAAGGCGGCGACCUGGACAGAUAUUGACGCUGAGGUGCGAAAGCGUGGGGAGCAAACAGG